rnacentral:rRNA from 1 species
UGGACGUACUUGUACUGAUUGAGAUUUUAACACGAAGUGAGUGGCGAACGGGUGAGUAACACGUGGGUAACCUGCCCAGAAGUAGGGGAUAACACCUGGAAACAGAUGCUAAUACCGUAUAACAGAGAAAACCGCAUGGUUUUCUUUUAAAAGAUGGCUCUGCUAUCACUUCUGGAUGGACCCGCGGCGUAUUAGCUAGUUGGUGAGGUAAAGGCUCACCAAGGCAGUGAUACGUAGCCGACCUGAGAGGGUAAUCGGCCACAUUGGGACUGAGACACGGCCCAGACUCCUACGGGAGGCAGCAGUAGGGAAUCUUCCACAAUGGACGCAAGUCUGAUGGAGCAACGCCGCGUGAGUGAAGAAGGGUUUCGGCUCGUAAAGCUCUGUUGUUAAAGAAGAACGUGGGUAAGAGUAACUGUUUACCCAGUGACGGUAUUUAACCAGAAAGCCACGGCUAACUACGUGCCAGCAGCCGCGGUAAUACGUAGGUGGCAAGCGUUAUCCGGAUUUAUUGGGCGUAAAGCGAGCGCAGGCGGUCUUUUAAGUCUAAUGUGAAAGCCUUCGGCUCAACCGAAGAAGUGCAUUGGAAACUGGGAGACUUGAGUGCAGAAGAGGACAGUGGAACUCCAUGUGUAGCGGUGAAAUGCGUAGAUAUAUGGAAGAACACCAGUGGCGAAGGCGGCUGUCUGGUCUGCAACUGACGCUGAGGCUCGAAAGCAUGGGUAGCGAACAGGAUUAGAUACCCUGGUAGUCCAUGCCGUAAACGAUGAUUACUAAGUGUUGGAGGGUUUCCGCCCUUCAGUGCUGCAGCUAACGCAUUAAGUAAUCCGCCUGGGGAGUACGACCGCAAGGUUGAAACUCAAAAGAAUUGACGGGGGCCCGCACAAGCGGUGGAGCAUGUGGUUUAAUUCGAAGCUACGCGAAGAACCUUACCAGGUCUUGACAUCUUCUGACAGUCUAAGAGAUUAGAGGUUCCCUUCGGGGACAGAAUGACAGGUGGUGCAUGGUUGUCGUCAGCUCGUGUCGUGAGAUGUUGGGUUAAGUCCCGCAACGAGCGCAACCCUUAUUACUAGUUGCCAGCAUUAAGUUGGGCACUCUAGUGAGACUGCCGGUGACAAACCGGAGGAAGGUGGGGACGACGUCAAAUCAUCAGCCCCUUAUGACCUGGGCUACACGUGCU